UACGUAGGGUGCAGGCGUUAAUCGGAAUUACUGGGCGUAAAGCGUGCGCAGGCGGUUUGCUAAGACAGGUGUGAAAUCCCCGGGCUUAACCUGGGAACUGCGCUUGUUGCUGGCAGGCUUGAGUUCGGGAGAGGGAUGCGGAAUUCCAGGUGUAGCGGUGAAAUGCGUAGAUAUCUGGAGGAACACCGGUGGCGAAGGCGGCAUCCUGGACCGACACUGACGCUGAGGAGCGAAAGCCAGGGGAGCAAACGGG
rnacentral:rRNA from 1 species